GGCAAAGAGCCAUGUAACAACCAGGAACCAUAUAGAUGCGGUUAUAAGAACAUAUGCCACCAUAUCUCUGUAUGAUCUACCAAAUAUAUGGUACACAAGAAGUAGAAUCAUCAGUUCAAUUCCCUUGACAAAAUGGCUUCGGGAGUACAAACGAUAGUUUUCAGCAAAUUUAGCGUGAAAUACAACAAAGCCACGACCAGUGCCUCUGUAUUGAGCACCCCCAUGGAGCAAUGUUCUCCCAUAAUAGUGGGUCCUUGUUCCAAGAGAAAAUGUAAAGAAAACAGGAGCAAGUUGUAGUUGCAUCAGCACAAAAUCAGUUAAGGCAUUGCGGAAGCCCCUCUCAAGGCCUAUCUCCAUCAUCAUGGGCAAUGCCAUCAAUAAGCCAAUUUGCACAAAAGACUGAGAGGCAAGAGCAACUUGAAGAGGCUUAUUAUUUCGAAUAGCUGGGUGUGAACUCAAUCCUUCUUCAAGCCCACUGACGACAAGAUACAGCCGACCAUAAAGAAAUACAUAUACAAUAAUGACGGUUAUCAAGGUAGUAAAGUAGAAUCCUAUAGUGGUGAAGAAGCAUGAUAGCAUACGGAAGAAAUCAAAUCGAUGUCCAAGCCUGUAUACAUCACGACUCAUUGUCUGCUCACCAUUUCCAUUAGCUAUCUUU
rnacentral:misc_RNA from 1 species